ensembl:lncRNA
GAGUUGAAGGAUGCAAAUGAGCCAGGCAUGAUAAAAACCAGAGUAUGUGUGUUGGGGUGAGGUGAGAGGAACAGGUGUUAACACCCAGAGGUAGGAAGGGGCCAGAAGUCAGGGCUGGGUGCACUCUGGGGAGAGCAAGGAGAUACCCUGUGGUGAAGGAGGCUGGGGGCCUUUUCACAUAGAGCCCCUCAGGCCAUUGUGCAGGAGCCAGGGGAGAACUUAAGCCACGAAGGCGAUGGUCUGAUUUAUGACUGCGAAGGUCCCCCAGACUGUCAUCUGAGAAGGAUGGAGAGAGGCAGGAGGUAUGUAGGGAGACCAGUUAGGGGGCUAAUGCUCUGGCUCAGGAGAGAUGAUGGUGAUUUGGGUGAGAAGGGUUUCAGAGAGCAGAGAACACCUGGAGAUACACAGUAGAACAUGGACCGACAGGACUCACUAAGGGAUUAUACAGGGAAAUUAGGACAAGCCUCGUUUCUAAGUAUUUAAAGAACUUGUAGUCUUCUGUUACCGUACACUCUAAUGGCAGCAGCUUAACUGGGUACUUUCAAUUCUUCGUAACUCAGCCUUCAUAUAUUAAAGUAUUAAAAUCUACUGAGAAAAACUGUUCUAUCUUUUAAUUCAAAGCAAAAAAGCAACAAUAUCAGGAAAGGAUUUUAAUGGAACAAUAAUUCCAGCUUACUUAGUAUUUUUGCUUGAAGCUCUUGUGUGUGUCUUUCAUCCUAAGGGAAAUUCCUCCUUUUCUCUUUUUUUUUUUUUUUUUUUUUUUCCAGUUUACAAAAACAAAUAUCCAGAAGAAUCCAGAUACAAUAUAGAUUUAUUUGUUCAUUUUAGUAGAAGAGAAGUGAAAAGAAAAUAGCAACAGCAACCUCUCUCUCUUAGGCUUCUCUUAUUAUUCAUAUAUAUUACUGUGGAAUUUAAUCACCUGAAGGAAAGCAAAUGGUUUUUAUGUAACUUUAUUUGAAAUAAACUUAAUUUGCACCACGGAGUCCUUCAAUUUAAUGUGCACAUAAAUCACACAGGGUCUUGUGGAGAUGAAGGUUCUGACUCAGUGACUGUGGAUGGGCCAAGGUUUUGCAUUUCUACCAAAUUCCCAUCUGGUUUGCAGACCACACUUGAAGAGGAAGGAGUUCAACUUUACUCCAAAUGGGUAUUGUCCAUGCUCUUAAUCACUUACGCUUCUAUUUUUCAGUGUUCUGGUAUCAUUGGAUUGGAGAAACUGACCCACUGGAACAUAAAACAUACUUGGUAAGUAGAAGAAACCAGUGUUUUUUCCCCUCUGGAAUUUAUUUCUAGAUUUUUAAUUCACUUUGUUACUGGUCUAAGAAAGCCUGGCAUCUUGAUUGUUGUCUGGUAUGUUUUUUACCCUAAUGACUAAGAAUCUAAUUGCAUUCCAAACUGUGACUACUUCCCUAAAUAUUCCCAGCUGCUUCCAAGAUGAACUCUAUAACAUCCCUAGAAAUAGGCUCUGUGGCCUUUUUGGGAAAUCUACAAUAUGAUCAUAUGAUCCCAAAUAGCUUUGUUCAACAUGUGAUGUUCAGAAGACCACAGAAUUUUAGGGUAUCUUUUCAAGUUACCAUUAAUCAUAUGUGGUUUUCCUCUGAAUGCAUUUCCUUCAAAAUGACCUACAUUCUGAAAAGAAAAAAAAAAAAAAAA